rnacentral:rRNA from 1 species
GAUGAACGCUAGCGGCAGGCCUAAUACAUGCAAGCUGAACGGUAAAUGUUGUAGCAAUACAAUAUGAGAGUAGCGUAAGGGUGCGUAACACGUAUGCAAUCUAACCCGCAACUGGAAGGAUAGCUCCCCGAAAGGGGAAUUAAUACUCCAUAAGAUCACGAGAGGGCAUCUGAUUGUGAUUAAACUCCAAGGGGUUGCGGAUGAGCAUGCGUCUGAUUAGUUAGUUGGUGAGGUAAC